rnacentral:rRNA from 1 species
UACGUAGGGUGCAAGCGUUAAUCGGAAUUACUGGGCGUAAAGCGUGCGCAGGCGGUGAUGUAAGACAGUUGUGAAAUCCCCGGGCUCAACCUGGGAACUGCAUCUGUGACUGCAUGGCUAGAGUUUGGCAGAGGGGGGUAGAAUUCCACGUGUAGCAGUGAAAUGCGUAGAUAUGUGGAGGAACACCGAUGGCGAAGGCAGCCCCCUGGGUCAAGACUGACGCUCAUGCACGAAAGCGUGGGGAGCAAACAGG